AGGUGAUAUCUUUACAACGUUGUGGGCGUUAAAGAUUGUUAUGUAAAGCAAAACAGAGAACUUGCUUAAGAUUCUCUGAAUUUUUAGGUUUCCCUAAAAAACCCACUGUUGGUUUAUUUAAUUUUCAUUUAAGUCUGAAAAAGUCUUGUUUGUGCUAUCAGAAAAUGCAGUCGUCAAUAGAGGAUGUCCAAGCUAAUAUCAAAUAGG